CCCUUAGAUGUCCUGGGCUGCACGCGCGCUACACUGGAAGUUACGGAUUGAGAUACCACCUUGUCCGAAAUGGUCCGGGUAAUCACCUAAAAGCUUGUCAUAAUUGGAAUGGAUUAUUGUAACUAGUAAUCCUGAACGAGGAAUUCCUAGUAAGUCCCAGUCAACAGCUGGUACUGAUUACGUCCCUGCCCUUUGUACACACCGCCCGUCGCUACUACUGAUUGGACGUUUAAGCAAGAUUUUUAAACACUGACAGUGUGUAGUUCACGCUAUACUACAGUGAGAAGAAGAAGAUCGAGCUUACUUGUCUAGAGGAAGUAAAAGUCGUAACA
rnacentral:rRNA from 1 species